ACGGAGGGUGCAAGCGUUGUUCGGAAUUAUUGGGCGUAAAGCGCGUGUAGGCGGCUCGUUAAGUCUGAUGUGAAAGCCCUGGGCUUAACCUGGGAAGUGCAUUGGAAACUGGCGAACUUGAGUAUGGGAGAGGAAAGUGGAAUUCCGAGUGUAGGGGUGAAAUCCGUAGAUAUUCGGAGGAACACCAGUGGCGAAGGCGGCUUUCUGGACCAAUACUGACGCUGAGACGCGAAAGCGUGGGGAGCAAACAGGAUUAGAUACCCUGGUAGUCCACGCCGUAAACGAUGGGCACUAGGUGUCGCGGGUAUUGACCCCUGCGGUGCCGUAGCUAACGCAUUAAGUGCCCCGCCUGGGGAGUACGGCCGCAAGGCUA
rnacentral:rRNA from 1 species